UGCUUCUACACCUGCAUUGCUUGCUGUUUGGGGUUUUAGGCUGGGUUUCUGUACAGCACUUUGAGAUAUCAGCUGAUGUACGAAGGGCUAUAUAAAUAAAUUUGAGGACCAUAUCAGGCUGAGAGAGGACCAUGUCAGGCGGAGAGAGGACCAAUUCAGGCUGAGAGAGGGCCAUAUCAGGCUGAGAGAUGCAGCUGCGCUCCAGACGGCACACCUCAUCAGAGAAAAGUUGCCCAUUGUCAUGUCUUUAUCUGGCUGGGUUGAUCUGGGAGCAAAUUGACUAUUUGCGAUUUACAACAAGCUCCCUGAGGUCACGAAGAUGAAGGAGGAGGAGAAAAGGAGAGUGGUAUCGCAAAACCAACAGAUUGCGGGCAGAGCUUUUUAAAAUGGUACGUUCGGUUGGUGCUGGGACUUUGUGACAAAAUAGUCACAGCAUAGUUUUCCUACUCUAGUCACUAAAGUGUUGAAGAAGACUACUUGGACCAGUGUUAUGAGUGCAUUCAAUGUGCUUAACUUAACACAAGGAAAGUUAACAAGGUUAUAAGAUCAGAACAAAUAUUGCAAUAUGGUUGGUAGAGCUAUUUCAAUAAUAGUCUUGCAUGAUGUAUUUUAUGAUAUUUGGAUGAGGUAAACAGAAAGGAAAACGCCGCACACUGCUGCUCAUGCUCCCAGGUGAUAUUUAUUUACAACAACGUUUCGACCCGUAUGUCUUCAUCAGGCAUCCAUAUCCCAGGUGGGGGUGGAAGGUCCUAUAUAUAGGGGCAGUACUCAGUGACAUCACUUCCUGAAACAAUGUAUAACUUAGGUUCACAAUAUUAACAUUCAAUGUAUCAAAAUAUAUGAUCAUACUGACGGAAUGUGAUCAAUAUUUACAGUAAUAUACAUACACAUACAAUUUUCAAUUAGGAUUAAAAAAACACAAUCAUUCUGACAUUUUGAAACUAUAAAAACGGUUUGAAGUCAAACUCCUUGUUAAGGCCAAGAGGAGACCAGUGUGUUGGGCCUGUGGACCUAGAAAGAUUCCCUUUGAAGUUUCCUCUCAACGUCCCCUCCCCUGUGUGACAUCUUGACCAUUUAUAUUCCAAUGUAUCUCAGAGAACUAAUAGGAUGUCCAGCUGGUACAAAAUGAAGAGCAAACAGAU
rnacentral:lncRNA from 13 species